UACAUGGGGGUGCAAACGUUGCUCGGAAUUAUUGGGCGUAAAGCGCACGUAGGCGGUUCGUUAAGUCGGAUGUGAAAGCCCUCGGCUCAACUGAGGAAGUGCACCCGAAACUGGCGAGCUUGAGUACGAAAGAGGAUCGCGGAAUUCCCGGUGUAGAGGUGAAAAUUCGUAGAUAUCGGGGAGGAACACCGGGUGGCGAAGGCGGCGAUCUGGGUCGAUACUGACGCUGAGGUGCGAAAGCGUGGGGGAGCAAACAGG
rnacentral:rRNA from 1 species